rnacentral:rRNA from 1 species
UGGGGAAACCCAGUGUGACUCGUCACACUAUCAUUAACUGAAUCCAUAGGUUAAUGAGGCGAACCGGGGGAACUGAAACAUCUAAGUACCCCGAGGAAAAGAAAUCAACCGAGAUUCCCCCAGUAGCGGCGAGCGAACGGGGAGGAGCCCAGAGCCUGAAUCAGCAUGUGUGUUAGUGGAAGCGUCUGGAAAGGCGCGCGAUACAGGGUGACAGCCCCGUACACAAAAGCGCAUGUGCUGUGAGCUCGAUGAGUAGGGCGGGACACGUGGUAUCCUGUCUGAAUAUGGGGGGACCAUCCUCCAAGGCUAAAUACUCCUGACUGACCGAUAGUGAACCAGUACCGUGAGGGAAAGGCGAAAAGAACCCCGGCGAGGGGAGUGAAAAAGAACCUGAAACCGUGUACGUACAAGCAGUGGGAGCACCCUUUGGGUGUGACUGCGUACCUUUUGUAUAAUGGGUCAGCGACUUAUAUUCUGUAGCAAGGUUAACCGAAUAGGGGAGCCGGAGGGAAACCGAGUCUUAACCGGGCGUUAAGUUGCAGGGUAUAGACCCGAAACCCGGUGAUCUAGCCAUGGGCAGGUUGAAGGUUGGGUAACACUAACUGGAGGACCGAACCGACUAAUGUUGAAAAAUUAGCGGAUGACCUGUGGCUGGGGGUGAAAGGCCAAUCAAACCGGGAGAUAGCUGGUUCUCCCCGAAAGCUAUUUAGGUAGCGCCUCGUGAAUUCAUCUCCGGGGGUAGAGCACUGUUUCGGCUAGGGGGCCAUCCCGGCUUACCAACCCGAUGCAAACUGCGAAUACCGGAGAAUGUUAUCACGGGAGACACACGGCGGGUGCUAACGUCCGUCGUGAAGAGGGAAACAACCCAGACCGCCAGCUAAGGUCCCAAAGUCAUGGUUAAGUGGGAAACGAUGUGGGAAGGCCCAGACAGCCAGGAUGUUGGCUUAGAAGCAGCCAUCAUUUAAAGAAAGCGUAAUAGCUCACUGGUCGAGUCGGCCUGCGCGGAAGAUGUAACGGGGCUAAACCAUGCACCGAAGCUGCGGCAGCGACACUGUGUGUUGUUGGGUAGGGGAGCGUUCUGUAAGCCUGUGAAGGUGUGUCGUGAGGCAUGCUGGAGGUAUCAGAAGUGCGAAUGCUGACAUAAGUAACGAUAAAGCGGGUGAAAAGCCCGCUCGCCGGAAGACCAAGGGUUCCUGUCCAACGUUAAUCGGGGCAGGGUGAGUCGACCCCUAAGGCGAGGCCGAAAGGCGUAGUCGAUGGGAAACGGGUUAAUAUUCCCGUACUUGGUGUUACUGCGAAGGGGGGACGGAGAAGGCUAUGUUGGCCGGGCGACGGUUGUCCCGGUUUAAGCGUGUAGGUGUGUGUUCCAGGUAAAUCCGGUUCACUUUAACACUGAGGCGUGACGACGAGGCACUACGGUGCUGAAGCAACAAAUGCCCUGCUUCCAGGAAAAGCCUCUAAGCAUCAGGUAACAUCAAAUCGUACCCCAAACCGACACAGGUGGUCAGGUAGAGAAUACCAAGGCGCUUGAGAGAACUCGGGUGAAGGAACUAGGCAAAAUGGUGCCGUAACUUCGGGAGAAGGCACGCUGACACGUAGGUGAAGUGAUUUACUCAUGGAGCUGAAGUCAGUCGAAGAUACCAGCUGGCUGCAACUGUUUAUUAAAAACACAGCACUGUGCAAACACGAAAGUGGACGUAUACGGUGUGACGCCUGCCCGGUGCCGGAAGGUUAAUUGAUGGGGUCAGCGCAAGCGAAGCUCCUGAUCGAAGCCCCGGUAAACGGCGGCCGUAACUAUAACGGUCCUAAGGUAGCGAAAUUCCUUGUCGGGUAAGUUCCGACCUGCACGAAUGGCGUAAUGAUGGCCAGGCUGUCUCCACCCGAGACUCAGUGAAAUUGAACUCGCUGUGAAGAUGCAGUGUACCCGCGGCAAGACGGAAAGACCCCGUGAACCUUUACUAUAGCUUGACACUGAACAUUGAGCCUUGAUGUGUAGGAUAGGUGGGAGGCUUUGAAGUGUGGACGCCAGUCUGCAUGGAGCCGACCUUGAAAUACCACCCUUUAAUGUUUGAUGUUCUAACGUGGACCCGUUACCCGGGUUGCGGACAGUGUCUGGUGGGUAGUUUGACUGGGGCGGUCUCCUCCUAAAGAGUAACGGAGGAGCACGAAGGUUGGCUAAUCCUGGUCGGACAUCAGGAGGUUAGUGCAAUGGCAUAAGCCAGCUUGACUGCGAGCGUGACGGCGCGAGCAGGUGCGAAAGCAGGUCAUAGUGAUCCGGUGGUUCUGAAUGGAAGGGCCAUCGCUCAACGGAUAAAAGGUACUCCGGGGAUAACAGGCUGAUACCGCCCAAGAGUUCAUAUCGACGGCGGUGUUUGGCACCUCGAUGUCGGCUCAUCACAUCCUGGGGCUGAAGUAGGUCCCAAGGGUAUGGCUGUUCGCCAUUUAAAGUGGUACGCGAGCUGGGUUUAGAACGUCGUGAGACAGUUCGGUCCCUAUCUGCCGUGGGCGCUGGAGAACUGAGGGGGGCUGCUCCUAGUACGAGAGGACCGGAGUGGACGCAUCACUGGUGUUCGGGUUGUCAUGCCAAUGGCACUGCCCGGUAGCUAAAUGCGGAAGAGAUAAGUGCUGAAAGCAUCUAAGCACGAAACUUGCCCCGA